ACAACUGUACAUAUUUAUGGGAUACAUAAUGAUGUUUUGAUAUAUAUAAUGUAUAGUGAUCAGAUCAGGGUAAUUAGCAUAUCCAUCACAUCAAAUAUUUAUCAUUGCUCUGUGUUGGGAACAUUCAAUGUCCUCCUUCUAGCUGUUUGAAACUAUGUGUUAUUAACCAGUUAUCCUCCAGCGGUAUAGAACACUAGAACUUAUUCCCCCUACCUAACUGUGAUUUUGUAUCCUUUAACAAAUCUCUCUCUAUCCUUCCCUUAAAACAUUUUUAUAAUUAGAAAAAUAAUGCAAUUAUUAUUAGUAUUAGAUCAUGCCACUGCACCUCAGCCUGGGUGACAAGAGCAAAAUCUCUGUCUCAAAAAAAAAAAAAGUAAAAAGAAAAAAGAGAAAGAAAAAGAAAAUCAAA
rnacentral:lncRNA from 1 species